rfam:Capsicum annuum cultivar Zunla-1 chromosome 11, whole genome shotgun sequence
ACUUCAUGAUUUAGGCAUUGGGCUAAUUUUCCAUUAAAUCGUUUCCAUGCUUCAAACAACAGUUCUCCAUUCAUUUAAUAAAAAUUCGUAAUCUCAUCCCGCCUUU